rnacentral:sRNA from 1 species
UGACUGGAAUGGUGGAGCUUCAACUCGG